AAAAUAAAAUAAACACCCCCCUCCUUCAAAAUUUUUCCUCCCUGCCGUCAAGCCCUAAGCAGCCUCUACCGGUCCGUCUGUCGAUUUUUCUCCGCGCCUUGCAAGAUCAGCGAAGUUGACCGUUUGCCGUCCGAUCGAACCCAACACGCACGAGUUGCCACCCUUGAUCCGCGAGCAGUGCGUGCCGCCAGCCACCCCAGCCAUCGAUCUGCGCUCCAGCUGCUUCACACGUCUGCCACUCCAACCGCGCCGCUUUAGCCGGCGCCUUACGUUUUCUUCAGCUGCAGACCUGCGCGAUCGAAAACCUAGCCACCGUCUGCGUUUCCCCAUGUCGACGUCGCUAUUCCGACCGACUUCUUUUCAAAUCUAGUGGUGCCCAUCAGUUUUUGCCAAUAGGCCACUCCCGCAUGGGUUUUCGCUGGAAUCUUGGAUUUGGAUUUGAGUCGAGGAAACUAUUGAAGUGGCUGUCCAGCGGGUUCGAGUUUGUUUCCAACAAGAAAUUUGGUUUGAGGUCACUAUCCAUCAAAAUUAGAGGUUUUUUUUCUUUGUGGAUUUAACUGGAGAUUUUGGAGCUUGUCUGGAAGUGAUCGUUGAUCAAGCCACACUUUGGGUAAAUCAUUUUUGGGGUUGAUGUUAUGAAUUAAUGGGUGGAAUUGGGCCUUAGUGUGAAUUAAAUGUUGGGUUUAUGUUGUAAGUUUAAUUUGUAUUUCAUUAUUGAGUAGUUGCUUGGAGGGAAAUAUUUGGACUUGCGAUUUGAGGUAAGUAAUCUUACUACUGGAACUGCCCACGGGCCAAGUACUAGAUAUAUGCUAGCAUGAUAGAUGGAUAUUAUGAUAGAACGAUAGCAUGAUAGACGGAUAGUAUAGUAUGACCUAUAUAUAUUCUUAUAUGAGGAUCUGAAAAAUUUAUUUGUGCACGUAGAUACUUGCAUGCUAAUAUGAGAUGAUACUUGAUUCAAUGAGGUUGUAUUGGAUAUGAGGCUAUUCAGGCAUAUAUCCACGUUGUAGAGCCAUGAUGUUGAGGUGUAUAUGUAUGUUAUAGAACCAUGUUAUGAUACUUGUGAUGUUGAGAUUGUGAUAGUGUCUUUACUAAUUAGUUAGAUACCUACUAGAUGUUGUGUUUCCUUCGGGAUUAACCAGAGAUUAUGUUUCCUUUGGAAUUCACUAGAGGUUGUGUUUCCUUCGGGAUUCACCAGGGGUUGUAUUUCCUUCGGGAUUCACCAGGGGUUGUGUUUCCUUCGGGAUUCACCACGGGUUGUGUUUCCUUCUGGAUUCACCAGAGGUU